rfam:Triticum aestivum genome assembly, contig: Triticum_aestivum_CS42_TGACv1_scaffold_222111_3B
CUAUUACAUCCUCCAUUCCGAAAUACUUGUCACUGAAAUAGAUGUAUCUAAAUGUAUUUUAGUUCUAGAUACAUCAAUUUUCAUUCAUUUUGAUGACAAGUAAUUCCGGACGGAGGGAGUACAUG